CUUCGGGGCGGGGUGAGAUUCCCCACCGGCGGUAAAGCCCGCUAACCUCACAUGAGGCCGAUCCGGUGAGAUUCCGGAGCCGACGGUAUAGUCCGGAUGACAGAAG
rnacentral:ncRNA from 1 species